rnacentral:rRNA from 1 species
CCGGGUUGCGGACAGUGUCUGGUGGGUAGUUUGACUGGGGCGGUCUCCUCCUAAAGAGUAACGGAGGAGCACGAAGGUUGGCUAAUCCUGGUCGGACAUCAGGAGGUUAGUGCAAUGGCAUAAGCCAGCUUGACUGCGAGCGUGACGGCGCGAGCAGGUGCGAAAGCAGGUCAUAGUGAUCCGGUGGUUCUGAAUGGAAGGGCCAUCGCUCAACGGAUAAAAGGUACUCCGGGGAUAACAGGCUGAUACCGCCCAAGAGUUCAUAUCGACGGCGGUGUUUGGCACCUCGAUGUCGGCUCAUCACAUCCUGGGGCUGAAGUAGUGUUCGGGUUGUCAUGCCAAUGGCACUGCCCGGUAGCUAAAUGCGGAAGAGAUAAGUGCUGAAAGCAUCUAAGCACGAAACUUGCCCCGAGAUGAGUUCUCCCUGAGACUUAGAGUCUCCUGAAGGAACGUUGAAGACGACGACGUUGAUAGGCCGGGUGUGUAAGCGCAGCGAUGCGUUGAGCUAACCGGUACUAAUGAACCGUGAGGCUUAACCUU